GAGACAAACAACUGCGAAAGCAUUUGCCUAAAAUACUUCCAUUAAUCAAGAACGAAAGUUAAGGGAGUGAAGACGAUCAGAUACCGUCGUAAUCUUAACCAUAAACUAUGCCGACUAGGUGUUGGAUGAUAGAGUAAAAAAUAAAAGAGACAUUCAUAUAUAUGAGUGUUUCUUUUAGAUAGCUUCCUUCAGUACCUUAUGAGAAAUCAAAGUCUUUGGGUUCUGGGGCGAGUAUUCGCGCAAGCGAGAAAGUUAAAAGAAUUGACGGAAGGGCACCACCAGGCGUGGAGCUUGCG
rnacentral:rRNA from 1 species